GCAAGUCGAACGAUCCCUCAUUCUGUGGGGGAUAGUGGCAAACGGGUGAGUAACGCGUGAGUGAUUUACCUUAAGGUUGGGAAUAACUCGCCGAAAGGCGAGCUAAUACCGAAUAAGACCACGAUUUCCAAGAAAUAGUGGUUAAAGAUGGGGAUCCUGAAAAUGGACCUGUCACCUUUAGAUGAGCUCGCGUCCUAUCAGCUUGUUGGUGGGGUAAAAGCCUACCAAGGCAAUGACGGGUAGCUGGUCUGAGAGGAUGGUC
rnacentral:rRNA from 1 species